rnacentral:rRNA from 1 species
GACGAACGCUGGCGGCGUGCUUAACACAUGCAAGUCGAACGGUAAGGCCCUUCGGGGUACACGAGUGGCGAACGGGUGAGUAACACGUGGGUGAUCUGCCCUGCACUUCGGGAUAAGCCUGGGAAACUGGGUCUAAUACCGGAUAGGACCACUGCCUGCAUGGGUGGUGGUGGAAAGCUUUUGCGGUGUGGGAUGGGCCCGCGGCCUAUCAGCUUGUUGGUGGGGUGAUGGCCUACCAAGGCGACGACGGGUAGCCGGCCUGAGAGGGUGACCGGCCAAACUGGGACUGGGAUACGGCCCAGACUCCGACGGGAGGCAGCAGGGGGGAAUAUUGCACAAUGGGCGCAAGCCUGAUGCAGCGACGCCGCGUGAGGGAUGACGGCCUUCGGGUUGUAAACCUCUUUCAGCACCGACGAAGCGCAAGUGACGGUAGGUGCAGAAGAAGGACCGGCCAACUACGUGCCAGCCGCCGCCGUAA